GAUGAACGCUGGCGGCGUGCCUAAUACAUGCAAGUCGAGCGAACAGACGAGGAGCUUGCUCCUCUGACGUGAGCGGCGGACGGGUGAGUAACACGUGGAUAACCGACAUAUAAGACUGGGAUAACUUCGGGAAACCGGAGCUAAUACCGGACAAUAUAUUGAACCGCAUGGUUCAAUAGUGAAAGACGGUUUUGCUGACACUUAUAGAUGGAUCCGCGCCGCAUUAGCUAGUUGGUAAGGUAGCGGCUUACCAAGGCAACGAUGCGUAGCCGACCUGAGAGGGUGAUCAGCCACACUGGAACUGAGACACGGUCCAGACUCCUACGGGAGGCAGCAGUAGGGAAUCUUCCGCAAUGGGCGAAAGCCUGACGGAGCAACGCCGCGUGAGUGAUGAAGGUCUUCGGAUCGUAAAGCUCUGUUAUUAGGGAGGAACAAAUGUGUAAGUAACUAUGCACGUCUUGACGGUACCUAAUCAGAAAGCCACGGCUAACUACGUG
rnacentral:rRNA from 1 species